GAUGAACGCUGGCGGCGUGCCUAAUACAUGCAAGUCGAGCGAACAGAUGAGGAGCUUGCUCCUCUGACGUUAGCGGCGGACGGGUGAGUAACACGUGGAUAACCUACCCAUAAGACUGGGAUAACUUCGGGAAACCGGAGCUAAUACCGGAUAAUAUAUUGAACCGCAUGGUUCAAUAGUGAAAGACGGUUUUGCUGUCACUUAUAGAUGGAUCCGCGCCGCAUUAGCUAGUUGGUAAGGUAACGGCUUACCAAGGCAACGAUGCGUAGCCGACCUGAGAGGGUGAUCGGCCACACUGGAACUGAGACACGGUCCAGACUCCUACGGGAGGCAGCAGUAGGGAAUCUUCCGCAAUGGGCGAAAGCCUGACGGAGCAACGCCGCGUGAGUGAUGAAGGUCUUCGGAUCGUAAAACUUUGUUAUUAGGGAAGAACAAAUGUGUAAGUAACUAUGCACGUCUUGACGGUACCUAAUCAGAAAGCCACGGCUAACUACGUG
rnacentral:rRNA from 1 species